rnacentral:ncRNA from 2 species
CUGAUACAGAAUACACCCCUUCAUAUAUGUUCGAUAAUAGGGUUCGAAUGUCUCUACCAAAUCACCGGAAAUGAUUUGACUAUGAGGGUGGCCUAAUAAAGA